rnacentral:rRNA from 1 species
UACGGGGGUGCGAGCGUUGUCCGGAAUCACUGGGCGUAAAGGGCGCGUAGGCGGCCAGCACAAGUCAGUUGUGAAAUCUCCGAGCUUAACUCGGAAAGGUCAACUGAUACUGUGCGGCUAGAGUGCGGAAGGGGCAACUGGAAUUCUUGGUGUAGCGGUGAAAUGCGUAGAUAUCAAGAGGAACACCUGCGGCGAAGGCGGGUUGCUGGGCCGAACACGUGACGCUGGAGGCGCGAAAGCCAGGGGAGCGAACGGGA